CCUACGGGAGGCUGCAGUAGGGAAUAUUGCUCAAUGGGGGACACCCUGAAGCAGCCACGCCGCGUGGAGGAUGAAGGUUUUCGGAUUGUAAACUCCUUUUGUUAGAGAAGAUAAUGACGGUAUCUAACGAAUAAGCACCGGCUAACUCCGUGCCAGCAGCCGCGGUAAUACGGAGGGUGCAAGCGUUACUCGGAAUCACUGGGCGGAAAGAGCGCGUAGGCGGGAUAGCAAGGCAGAUGUGAAAUCCUAUGGCUUAACCAUAGAACUGCAUUUGAAACUGUUAUUCUAGAGUAUGGGAGAGGUAGGUGGAAUUCUUGGUGUAGGGGUAAAAUCCGUAGAGAUCAAGAGGAAUACUCAUUGCGAAGGCGACCUGCUAGAACAUAACUGACGCUGAUGCGCGAAAGCGUGGGGAGCAAACAGGAUUAGAUACCCGGGUAGUC
rnacentral:rRNA from 1 species